AAUCAGUUAGCCCAACCCCUUAGAUAAGCCCAAUAGAAAGAGAUUAGGCCUGCCAAAUUUGCUCCAAGACUUCCCAAUCCGUAGAAAUCAAUUCCAAUUAACACAGAACCCAUAAAACCAUCUAGAUCUUUAAUCUCAACCCUUAAUUUCUAGAUCCAACGACCAUAAUUACUUUAUGUAUUGAGAUAAUUUUUUACAACUCAAAUCAAAUUGAAGUUUUACUCUCUCUCUUCGUAUCAAUCAAUGGCACCCUAUUUCCAUUUUCCUCUUUAGAGCAAAAUUCCAAUCUUUUUUUCCCAAGAGCAAGAGCAGAACUUUUUCAUCCUAUCUUCUGCAAUGUCAGUUUCACUCUCUGAAUAUGUUUAUUUCCAAAUCAGAUAGCAUGAAACCAUGCCUAUAUUUUAAAAUUGAAUCUUAUGGCAGAGGAUCUUUUGGAGGAAAAGGUAAAGCUUUUCUUACUCGUUUGUCUUUAUCUUUUCCGUCAUUAUUUUAUCCGUUCUUGAACGCUACUUUGACUUGGAAACCCUAAGGUUCGAAUCUAUCUGCCUAUAAGUACUCACAUGAUGGCUCAGAGACGCCACUCUCCUUUCAAAUUUACUGUUGGCAAGCAUCCCUUACUCCUUACCUAUGUCAUUAUUUUAUCCGAUCUUGAACGCUACUUUGACUUCCAAACGGCUAAUUUGAAAUCGCGCCUAAAGGAAACCCUAAGGUUCGAAUCUGCCUAUAAGUACUCACAUGACGGCUCGGAGACGCCACUCUCCUUUCAAAUUUACUGUUGGCAAGCAUCCCUUACUCCUUACCUAUUGGCUAUAAAGUCUCACAAAGCCUGAGUUGGAGGUUUUCUUCGUCUCUGUUGGUUCUCACUAUAACAGAGGCUUCACAUUUGAACACGUUUUCUCACAAAGCCUGAGUUAUUGGAGGUUUUCUUCGUCUCUAUUGGUUCUAACUAUAACAGAGGCUUUGCAUUUUAUCACAUUUGAAUCAGUUCUGAUUUUGUUCGAAAGAGGAGUGUAGCUCUGAGGUCUGCGACGUCCUAGUUCACUGCCCGUAAAAAGGUCAGUGAUUCUUAAAAUUCUAAUUUUUCUUAUUUUCAGGCUUGUUUCAUCUAUUGUGAAAUGGGAUUUAUAGUUUACUUUCCUUGUAGAAAGCAUGACUUAAGUUCUGAUCGCGUGUACAAAUCGCGAAGAAUUUUGUGUGUUCUGAUUAAGUGUUAAUCAAACAAGAAAAUAAAAUAUUGGCUGAGAACUUAUGUUAAUAUUCUUCUGUUGGUUGCUACUUUAGUUGUUGACCAUAUACUUUUGCUUUUAAUACCACGAGCUUCCUUUAUUAAAGCUUUUGAUUCGUUGGUUAAAUAAAUUAGAACAUUUCUUAUUGCUAUAUGUAUGAAGACUUAGGGUAGAUACUCUUUUCCAUGAGCAAAAUAUGACUGUAAGGUAUAUUUUUUCUCUAGUUUAAGUGCCAUACAAAACAUGAGGUUAGAAUACUAACUAUCUUAUUGUUUAGCUGGAUAUCUUGUUAGUUAGCAAGGAGUUCUCUUAGAAACUGUUCUUUAAUGAAAUCUAUGCGUAGAAUAUCAUUAAAAUGAACCUGUCCAACUCUAGUCGAGUGAGUAGUUGCUACUGUAGACUCAGAAUCUUUACUUUCAUCGGCUACUUUACCAAUAUUAUCAUUUUCAGCCAUGUGAAGUGAAUUAAGAAUGCAACUUACAGUUUAUUUCCUGCUUUGUAUUCCUCUGCUUCUUCAAUUAUUUCCCUUACAAUUUCCUUCUCCCUUUUCUCCUUCUCCUCAAGCCGUACUGCAUUCAAUCUGGAAAAUGAAACAAAUAUCAAACCUCUCACAUAAGGAAUGAGCAAGGACAUGUAAUCAAUCCACAUAAAAGAUAAGUUUUAAGAGCAAGGAAUUACAAGAGCAAAUUCUCAUUAAAGAUAUAUUUUAAAAAAAGAUUAAACACGGACGGAGAAUUUUUGUCAAGAACAAAUCUUUCCAAACAUUUGAGUUGCCACAAAAUAAUCAUGUUUAACAUAAAUGACCAAUGUAAAAUAAUAAUAACAAAUAGCCACUUAGAUAUAUAUAAAAAAUUAUAACCGAAACAAUACAAUGAACAAAGAGGAAAAAGCAAUGGCAAACUCAGCAGCUACAAGGGGUAGCUAACAAAGAGAAGGGCACAAAUCUGUUUUGCUAUUUGAAGAAUAAAUCUUGUACUAUAAAAGAAAAAUUGCAGAUAUGAGAGGAUGACAAUUAAAAAACCUUCACAACAGCCAUGAAAUUGGAGCGAGAAUUAGACAGAUUAAGAACGACAUCAGCCAUUAUAUUCAGUCGUCAAAAUUUAAAAGUCUAAAUAGAACCGAAACAAAUUGGGGAAAACAAGAAAUUGGCGAAAAAAUGACAAUAAAGCUGACCUGAAAUAUGAAAAGAACUUACAAAAAGCACUUCCGAGCGGGAGAGAGCGGCGAUGUUUCUUAUUAAUGUUUGGGAGAAAAUGAGGAAGACGAAGAACCGAAGAAGAUCGAAGAAGAAGCUACGCAGCGCAGGCAGGGUUAGGGUUAGGCUUUUUACUAUUCGGUAUAUUGUAAUUGUAUAGCAGUAUAUAUA
rnacentral:lncRNA from 1 species